rnacentral:lncRNA from 1 species
AAAGCAUUUGUACAAAAAAUGUAAAGUUCAUACGUACGUAUAGGGACUACUACAAUAAUGAUUAUACGAGUCUAAAGAACUCAAUCGGUGGUGGGUUUUAAAGUUUCUAGUUACAGAUCACCGGUGCACACCAGGUGUUUGUGAAAUGUCCCCUGUGAACUUGCCGGUGGAGUUUGGUGCUCGGGAUGUUGGGAAACAAGAUAAGUUUUGAAGUAUCCAUCCGUACAAAUGGUUCCUUCAUUCUUUGUGAUCUUGCUCAACCCAUCCACCCUUCACCUGGAGUGUGAGUUGAGAAGAUGAGUACCAGGUGGAUGGUUGAGCAAGAUCACAAAGAAUGUGUAAUCAAGUUUGUGAGAAGUGAAGUGAAUGAAACUGAGACAUGAGAUUGAAGUAUUUCCAGCUCUAGCUGAU